rnacentral:rRNA from 1 species
GCCCUAUGAUAUAUAUAUAUAUUAAAUGGCCGCGAUAUUUUGAUCGUGCAAAGGUAGCAUAAUCAUUAGUUUUUUAAUUGAGAACUGGUAUGAAAGGUUGAACGAAAAAAAAACUGUCUCAAUUUAAUUUAAUUAGAAUUUUAUUUUUAAGUAAAAAAGCUUAAGUAUAUUUAAAAGACGAGAAGACCCUAUAGAGUUUUAUAAUUAAUAUUAUAAAAAAAAUAUUUUAGUAUAUAAAUUUUUAUUUUUUUAUUAAUUAUUUAGUUGGGGUGAUUGAAAAAUUUAAUAAACUUUUUUUAUUAUUGUAACAUUAAUAUAUGAUAAAUUGAUCCAUAUUUUAUGAUUA